CCUACGGGAGGCAGCAGUGAGGAAUAUUGGUCAAUGGACGAGAGUCUGAACCAGCCAAGUAGCGUGAGGGAUGACUGCCCUAUGGGUUGUAAACUUCUUUUAUAUGGGAAUAAAAUGUUCCACGUGUGGGGUUUUGUAUGUACCAUAUGAAUAAGGAUCGGCUAACUCCGUGCCAGCAGCCGCGGUAAUACGGAGGAUCCGAGCGUUAUCCGGAUUUAUUGGGUUUAAAGGGAGCGUAGGUGGAUUGUUAAGUCAGUUGUGAAAGUUUGCGGCUCAACCGUAAAAUGGCAGUUGAAACUGGCAGUCUUGAGUACAGUAGAGGUGGGCGGAAGUCGUGGUGUAGCGGUGAAAUGCUUAGAUAUCACGAAGAACUCCGAUUGCGAAGGCAGCUCACUGGACUGCAACUACACUGAGGCUCGAAAGUGUGGGUAUCAAACAGGAUUAGAUACCCGAGUAGUC
rnacentral:rRNA from 1 species